rnacentral:rRNA from 1 species
CUUCGACGGACGGUGUACGGCUCAGUAACAAGUAGCCAAUCUGCCCUAAGGACGGGAGCAACCUCGGGAAACUGAGGUCAAUUCCCGAUGCUUCAUCUAUGCUGGAAUGCUUGAUGAGGAAAAUGCGCGGUAAAUUGCAGCCGUUGCGCCUUAGGAUGAGACUGCUCCUGAUUAGGUAGUUGGUGAGGUAACGGCUCACCCAAGCCGAUAAUCAGUAGGGGCAAUGGGAGUUGGCGCCCCCGAGAAGGGCACUGAGACAAGGGCCCUAGUCCUACGGGAUGCAGCAGGCGCGAAACCUUUACAAUGCGCGAAAGCGUGAUAAGGGAAUUCUGAGUGGCAGCCGGCUUUUAGCCGACUGUCUUUUGGCGAACCUAAACCGUUCGCAGAAUAAGUUCUGGGUAGGACCAGUGCCAGCCGCCAUGUGCAUUUGCAUAAUGCGCACGGUACGCGGUAAUACUGGCAGAACGAGUGGUGCCCACGAAUAUUGGGUCUAAAGAGACCGUAGCUGGUUUGUUAAGUCCACUGUGAAAUCUUGGGGCUCAACCUCAAGGCGUGCAGUGGAUACUGGCAGACUUGAGAGCGGGGGAGGUCAGGGGUACUUACGGGGUAUGAGUAAAAUCAGUUGAUCCUGUAAGGACCACCAGUGGCGAAGGCGCCUGACCAAAACGCGUCUGACAGUGAGGGUCGAAGGCUAGGAGAACGAAUCGGAUUAGAUACCCGAGUAGCCCUAGCAGUAAAUUAUGCAGACUGUGGUGUUGCCAUGGCUUCGGGCCAUGGCAGUGCUGUAGCGUAGGUGUUAAGCCUGCCACCUGGGGAGUACGGCCGCAAGGUUGAAACUUAAAGGGAAUUGGCGGGGG